UGGGGAUGCGGCAGCUACCAUGCAGUCGUACGAGAAGGUUCUUUCGGGAACUGGAGAGUGGCGCACGGGUGAGUAACGCGUGGGGACCUACCUCUUAGUGGGGGAUAACGGUUGGAAACGACCGCUAAUACCGCAUACGCCCUUCGGGGGAAAGAUUUAUCGCUAAGAGAUGGACCCGCGUUGGAUUAGAUAGUUGGUGAGGUAACGGCUCACCAAGUCAGCGAUCCAUAGCUGGUUUGAGAGGAUGAUCAGCCACACUGGGACUGAGACACGGCCCAGACUCCUACGGGAGGCAGCAGUGGGGAAUAUUGGACAAUGGGCGCAAGCCUGAUCCAGCCAUGCCGCGUGAGUGAAGAAGGCCUUCGGGUUGUAAAGCUCUUUCAGAUGCGAAGAUGAUGACGGUAACAUCAGAAGAAGCCCCGGCUAAUUUCGUGCCAGCAGCCGCGGUAAUACGAAAGGGGCAAGCGUUGUUCGGAUUUACUGGGCGUAAAGGGCACGCAGGCGGUCCUGCCAGUCAGGGGUGAAA
rnacentral:rRNA from 1 species